rnacentral:tRNA from 1 species
GGAUCCGUGGCGCAUGGUACCGCAUCUGACUCCAGAUCAGAAGUUUGCGUGUUCGAUUCACGUCGGGUUCA